CCUACGGGGGGCUGCAGUAAGGAAUAUUGGUCAAUGGACGAAAGUCUGAACCAGCCAUGCCGCGUGGAGGAUGAAGGUCCUCUGGCUUGUAAACUUCUUUUAUAUGGGACGAAAAAAGGCUUUUCUAGGUCGUCUGACGGUACCAUAUGAAUAAGCACCGGCUAACUCCGUGCCAGCAGCCGCGGUAAUACGGAGGGUGCCGGCGUUAUCCGGAUUCACUGGGUUGUAGGUGGGUUGAGAUGGGUGUGGAGAAAUCCCCGAGCUUAACUUGGGAACUGCCAUUGAUACUAUCAGUCUUGAAUACCGUGGAGGUCAGCGGAAUAUGUCAUGUAGCGGUGAAAUGCUUAGAUAUGACAGAGAACACCAAUUGCGAAGGCAGCUGGCUACCCGAAUAUUGACACUGAGGCACGAAAGCGUGGGGAUCAAACAGGAUUAGAUAUCCCGGUAGUC
rnacentral:rRNA from 1 species